rnacentral:rRNA from 1 species
UACGGAGGAUCCAAGCGUUAUCCGGAUUUAUUGGGUUUAAAGGGUGCGCAGGCGGAAUAUUAAGUCGGCGGUGAAAGUUUGCAGCUUAACUGUAAAAUUGCCGUUGAUACUGGUAUUCUUGAGUGUAUAUGAAGUAGGCGGAAUUUGUAGUGUAGCGGUGAAAUGCAUAGAUAUUACAAGGAACUCCAAUUGCGAAGGCAGCUUACUAAAUUACAACUGACGCUCAGGCACGAAGGCGUGGGUAUCAAACAGGAUUAGAUACCCCGGUAGUCCCUGA